AACUGCUCAAUGAGUCUUUCGUUUGUCCCACAGGCGAACCAGAUCCUCGCAGAAGAGCACCACUCCGUCUCUCGUCCUCGUCUCUUCUCCUGUUGAGAGUCUUCUUUCUCCUGUCUCCGGCUCCCCUCCCCAUCUCCUCCACCGGCGUUGCCGGCUGGAGUGGGAUAGGGAGGGGAGGUCGUUCUCCGCUUUUAUAUACCUGUAGGGUUCUAGUUGCCUUAGAGGCUGGUGGCGCUAUGCCGUUAUCUCCGAGCAAGUCGCCGGCGAGUCCGGGUCAGAUCCGGCGACCCCUUCCUAGAUCCACCCUUCCAGCGGCCUCCCUCGGUGCUCCCGUGGCGAAGCUAGUUCUUGGAGGCUGGAGUCCGGGUAUAUGCUCCGCUAAUAAUCCCGUUGCUCUCCCAGAUCUACAAGGUCUAAAAUCUCCCCCUUCUUCCUUUGGUUGCCACGGAGGCGGACGAAGAGAGGAGUCGGGUUCCUGUUGUGGCCUUUGUCGAUAUGGUUCCCCCCACUUUUUUCUUUUUCCCUGGUUUGCCUGCUCUCAUAUCCCCGCUUGGUUGCCGGCUGCGGAUGCUCUCUUUAUUCUCCGGCAACGUUGCGCUUUCCUCUUGGUUUCCUUCAGAUCGGUGCAGAAAUCGGUGGAGGGAUUGGCGGAGGAGAUACCAAUUCCCAGCUCAACCUCCCCUUCCGGAGGCCCACAUCGUGGUUCUUGGGAUGGCUUCGGAAGAUUCGUCUUACUCCAAUACAGGAGAUUGUCGGGCGUGAAGACUUCUUCGCCUUUGUUCGGGAUCUCGUCGGCCCGGGACUAGUUAUUUUCCGACGAGCGACGCGCGUCUAACUUGGCGGUUGGAAUUUCCGGCGAGUCUUCGUGGUGGAGUUUUGCUAGAAAAUUCUUUUUCGUUUAGCUUGAUGCGUGGCAGUCCAGGUGUCCCCUCCCUGCGUGGUUCCGGGACACGUGUGUGUAUGGGCUUUCUUGGUGUUUGCCCUUCUUCGGGGAUUGUAAUGUUCACUCUGUAAUACAAUUUGGCAGGCUGUUUACAAGAAAAAGAAAAGAUCCUCGCAA